UCUGCCUCGGCCUCCCAAAGUGCUGGGAUUACAGGUGAGAGCCAUCGCACCCGGCCAACAGUGGGUAUAAUUAAUGGGACUUUUUUCAUUGGCAUGGUCAGGAGGAUAGGACACAGCCUCGCUAGUGGUAAGUGCUGGGUGCUGACAUGUGGGCCACUGACGCUAUGGGCAGGAGGGUUAGCGGGGAGGGGAUUUCAGGCACAGUGAACAGCACAGACAUGAAGGCGAAAAACGAAAGAAAACAAAAUGCCACAGCCCUGAGCCAUCCGGGGUGCUGGGAGCAGUGCAGAGUCACUGCCAACUUCUGUGUGUUGCAGGCAGGAGCAGGCGUGGUGAAACUGCGGAGUGGCCGCCAGAGCGAUCAGAAGUCUAGCCAAAGAGGCGUGGACCCAAGAGGGCCAACCCUGGUAGGGGGAAGUCCCCAAGACUGGGCCACAAGGGCCUGAUCUCAACUCCUAGGUGUUGAGAGAGGCCAGAGGCUAUGUGGGGCUUUGAUGCUCCUUCUGUGGGGUGAGGGUGGGUGAGAAAUUUUGAGGAGGUGCAGGGGAGGAGUCUAGAGGGGUGUGUGUAGGAGAGAGAGAGAGAAAGAAAGGGAGAGAACUAUAAAGUUGGAGGCCAAUACCAAGGGGCAGCCAGAAUUAAUGCCUGUUCUGGAGAGGGAGCAAGCAGCACCGGUCUCUUUCCCAACCCCGGGCCGCUUUGCCCUCCAGUACCAGGAAGUGCCUCUGCGGGAGAGAGGCCAGGAGGCUGCUCCACACACAUCCUGCUUUUGCUCAGUCUAACUCUCCUCCCUGGCCUGCCUCAGCCCUGCACCCAGACUGUUUCAUCAGGUCAUAGAGCGGCUGGGUGUGAGUGUGUGGGUGUUUGUGUGUGUGUGCACACACAUGCGUGUACAUGUGGCAUUUCUAGAUCAGAGAAUGCUCAGAGGCCCUGCUAAAGGUCAGGUCAGUAAGGAGUGAGGGCAUGGCCAGCCCCUCAGGUCCUGGCACCCAGAUAGCUCCUUCCCACCCAAAUCUGCCAGGCCUCGGGGGCAGUGGCAGCUGACAGGCCUCUGAGUCAGGAUGGGUGAGGAGGAGGAGCUGAAGGGCCGGCCAAGGAGGAGUAAGUCGUCACCUGCUGAGUGGCGGGUCAUUCGUUUAGCCCAGUGAUGGGGAGCAGUGCUGCAGGGGGCAGGGGUCGGAGGGGAGGGGGAUUUCUGCCAUUGAAACAAUAGGCACCCUAGUUCUGUGUUACUGGGGCUGGGGGCCAGGAGGCAGGAUAGGACAUGCUCUUGCCUCCCCACCUCCGCUGUGCUCAGCAGCUGGUGGAGACCUGGGAGGAGAAUCCCAGGCUGAUGCCUAGCGUGGGCCCAGUAAAGUCUUUGGGGAUUUGAUGCAACCCCGAGUUCCUGAUGGCUCAUGGAGAGGCUGUGCCUGCACCUCGUGGCGAUGAGCCAUCUGGGGCUCGCCCCGCACCCAGCACAUGGCUAGGAGCAUAGUGAACUCCGUCUCUAGGAAUGGGCAGGACCCAGGAAGGCUAGUGAAAAGAUGCAUUUGAGGCCUGAGCUCUCUGUGUCCAGAAGCAGCCCCCUCAGGUUGUGGGGGGACACUCUGGGUCUUGCACCUGCCAAGGCCCCUGCCACAGAGAAUGGGAACAGCACUGCUCCCCCAGGGCCACUCCAAGUUUUCUGGUCUCAAGAUGCAGUCCCUGUGGGGCUGUGGGUGGGCCCCCUCUCUGCCUAGCCCAGUUCCAGCUACAGAAGCUGUGUGGAAACAUCUCCCCUGAACCAAGUGCCUUUGAACUUUCCAGGAAUGCUGGCCUGGGGCGGAGCAGGGGUGGCAGGGAAGGACAGGCGUGGGGUGGGAUGUUCCAGAAUCUACUGGGACCCAAACCCGAGAGCACCGAGUUCCCACGAGCCAAUGCCUGGCUGUGGAGGAACCGGGAGGUCACAGGGAUGCAAUGGGCAACAUCAGGAUGAGGCAGGAAAGAAAACUGGCUCAGAGAGGCUGAGUAACCUGCUCAAGAUGACACAGCUUGUGGGUGGCUGAGUUGGCCUUCCAACCCAGAUUCCUGUCAUGUUCCUCAAGCCGACAGGUUCAGCUUGGUUGUGACCUCUGCUAGAAGCCCUCCCUGGCCUCCCUGUGCACUGAGCUGGUGGUUCCUCCUUUGCGCCCCAGGUACAUGCUCAGAUCUGUGUACCCUACACUUUGUCCUCCAGCUUCGUGUUUGGAUGUUCACAACUCCCAUGAGAAGGGCCCCCGAGAGCUGGCACAGUGCAUGUGUUUCCUCUCCAGACUUCUACAAACCUGGCACAUAAUUGUUUGCUGAAAGAUGGCAUGUUCCUAAAACAGAGGAAGUAGAACCGAAUAAAGCGAAAUCCAACUUCCCACUCCCUGCUCUCACUUCCUCUGGGACAGGCCUUGAGCAAGAGAGACAAAAAGAACAAGAGAUGAUCUUUCCCUUUAAUGGGAUUUCAGUCUGAUCAGGGAGAUAGUAACAGAAAGACUAGACUAGACUAGUGUAUGAUUAAAUGACAUUUGCCAUCCCCAGAAGAGGGAGAGACCUGCAUGGAACAGGGUGGUCAAGGCAGGCUUCCUGGAGGAGGCAAAGACUUAGAUUUAACAGUACCAGAGCUCCAGGAUAGAUCCUCCUCUGACUGAACUCCCUAUUUCUUUCUCCCACCCCAACCUUCCCGGGUCCCCAGCUGAAGGGAUACGUGUGUGUGUGUGUGUACAUGUGCCUGCACACAUGUACACAUGUGGUUAGAAAGGGGGUAUUAGUAUCUCUCUCCUAGGAUGGAGUCUCAAGGACAGGCCCAUCAUCUCCUCAGUUUGCCCCUCUCUCUCCCACUUCACCUAGGGAAUGGAAUAAGAAUGGGAUAAGUAUAACACAAUGAGACGAAUGCAGAACCAACUAGAUGUACACCCAACAAUGUGGAUGAACCUUAAAACAGUGCUGCCUGAAGAAGGCAAGAAACAGAAUGAAAUCUGCAGCACAUCAUUCAUAUAAACUAAAAAUACAUGCACAGAGAAAGGCCACUUUUUUUUUUUUGGAGACAAAGUUUCGCUCUUGUCACUCAGGCUGGAGUGCAAUGGCACGAUCUCGGCUCACUGCAACGUCCACCUCUAGGGUUCAAGCGACUGUCCUGCCUCAGCUUCUAGAGUAGCUGGGAUUAUAGGAGCCCACCACCAUGGCCGGCUAAUUUUUGUCUUUUUAGUAGAGACGGGGUUUCACCAUGUUGCCCAGGCUGGUCUCAAACUCCUGACCUCAGGUGAUCCACGUGCCUCGGCCUCCGAAAGUGCUGGGAUUACAGGCGUGAGCCACCGCACCCAGUCAGCAACGUAUGUUUUGUAGAGACACAGACAAAGAUGUGAUGUCAAACACACUAAUGUGGUUGCCUCAUUUAUGGAUGGGGGACUGGGCUGGUGAAUGAGGAUUAAAGGAAUAAAUAAAUAAAACAAGAGAGGGCCUCUGUACAGAACGGUGAUGACAGCGUGCCGUCGAGGAGAAUGAUGAACUCAAACUUUUGCACCUGAGAGCCAAACAAAAGCUCAAAACCAAAAUCUCUCUUAGAAAUGAUGCCACUGACUUUAGGAUGGCACUCAUAUCUGUGUGAGUGGGAGAGAGAAGGGUUUGGGGCAGGGAUUUGACUGUAGCUGUAAUGUUUUAUUCCUUUAAAAAAGAUAAGAUAAUCUGAAACAAAAUGUUAAUAUCUGUUGAAUCUGGGGAGAGGCUAUGAGGGUUUCUGUUAAACCAUUUUGUGUACAUUUUAAAUACAGUCAUGCAUGAGUUAAUGAUGGGGAAUAAGUUCUUAGAGAUACGUUGUUAAGCAGUUUUGUUAUUGUGUGAACAUUAUCGAGUGUACUUACACAAACUUAGGAUGGAAUAGCUGACUAUAUAACUUAGACUAUAUGGUCUAGCCUAUUGCUUGAAGGCUGCAAACCCAUACUCCAUGUUACUGUACUGAAUAAUGAAGACAAGUGUAAUACGAUGGCAAGUAUUUGUGUAUCUAAACAUAGAAAAGGUACAGUAGAAAUGUGGUAUCGUAGUCUUAUGAGAGUACUGUUGUAUAUGCAAUGCUUUGUUGACUGAAACAUCAUUAUGUGGUUCAUGACUGUAUAUCAUAAUUUUAAAAAAUAUUUUAAGAGGUUGCCAAUCAAGACACUACAAACUAAUUUUGUGGCUUUUGUCAAAAUUCAUUUCUUUCUUUCUUUUUUUUUUUUUUGUUUUGAGACAGGGAUCACUCAAGCAAUCCUUCUGCCUUA
rnacentral:lncRNA from 1 species